rnacentral:rRNA from 1 species
AUACGGGGGGUGCAAGCGUUAUUCGGAUUUAUUGGGCGUAAAGGGCGCGUAGGCGGCUUGGAAAGUCAGAUGUGAAAGCCCGGGGCUCAACCCCGGAAGUGCAUUUGAAACUAUCAGGCUUGAGUAUGGGAGAGGGAAGUGGAAUUCCUGGUGUAGAGGUGAAAUUCGUAGAUAUCAGGAGGAACACCGGUGGCGAAGGCGACUUCCUGGACCAAUACUGACGCUGAGGCGCGAAGGCGUGGGGAGCAAACAGGAUUAGAUACCCUUGUAGUCC